rnacentral:rRNA from 1 species
AACGUAGGUGGCAAGCGUUAUCCGGAAUUACUGGGCGUAAAGGGUGUGCAGGCGGGGGAGCAAGUGGGGUGUGAAAUCUCCCAGCUUAACUGGGAUAGGUUAUGCCAGACUGCUUUUCUAGAGGACGAGAGAGGGGGGUGGAAUUCCGGGUGUAGUGGUGAAAUGCGUAGAGAUCCGGAGGAACCCCAGAGGCGAAGGCGGCCCCCUGGCUCGUACCUGACGCUCAGCCACGAAAGCAUGGGGAGCGAACGGG